rnacentral:rRNA from 1 species
AGUGAACGCUGGCGGUAGGCCUAACACAUGCAAGUCGAACGGCAGCACAGUAAGAGCUUGCUCUUACGGGUGGCGAGUGGCGGACGGGUGAGGAAUACAUCGGAAUCUACUUUUUCGCGGGGGAUAACGUAGGGAAACUUACGCUAAUACCGCAUACGACCUACGGGUGAAAGCAGGGGAUCUUCGGACCUUGCGCGAUUGAAUGAGCCGAUGUCGGAUUAGCUAGUUGGCGGGGUAAAGGCCCACCAAGGCGACGAUCCGUAGCUGGUCUGAGAGGAUGAUCAGCCACACUGGAACUGAGACACGGUCCAGACUCCUACGGGAGGCAGCAGUGGGGAAUAUUGGACAAUGGGCGCAAGCCUGAUCCAGCCAUACCGCGUGGGUGAAGAAGGCCUUCGGGCUGUAAAGCCCUUUUGUCGGGAAAGAAAAGCAGCAGGUUAAUACCCCGCUGUUCUGACGGUACCCAAAGAAUAAGCACCGGCUAACUUCGUG